CAGUAGCCGCGGUAAUACAGAGGGUGCGAGCGUUAAUCGGAUUUACUGGGCGUAAAGCGUGCGUAGGCGGCUUCUUAAGUCGGAUGUGAAAUCCAUGAGCUUAACUUAGGAAUUGCAUUCGAUACUGGGAAGCUAGAGUAUGGGAGAGGAUGGUAGAAUUCCAGGUGUAGCGGUGAAAUGCGUAGAGAUCUGGAGGAAUACCGAUGGCGAAGGCAGCCAUCUGGCCUAAUACUGACGCUGAGGUACGAAAGCAUGGGGAGCAAACAGGAUUAGAUACCCGCGUAGUCCCUGUCUCUUAUAC
rnacentral:rRNA from 1 species